UACAGAGGUCCCAAGCGUUGUUCGGAUUCACUGGGCGUAAAGGGUGCGUAGGCGGUCGGGUAAGUCUGAUGUGAAAUCUCACAGCUUAACUGUGGAACUGCAUUGGAUACUAUUCGGCUAGAGAGUUGGAGGGGGGACUGGAAUUCUUGGUGUAGCAGUGAAGUGCGUAGAUAUCAAGAGGAACACCAGUGGCGAAGGCGAGUCCCUGGACAACUUCUGACGCUGAGGCACGAAAGCUAGGGGAGCAAACAGG
rnacentral:rRNA from 1 species